rnacentral:lncRNA from 1 species
AAGGCCAUGCCCAAUGGGCUUCAAGGAGGCUGCUCGAGGCCUUAUUAGAGUUUGUCUUUCGAAGUCAUUUGAACUUUGGAGGCUAAGGUCAGCAAAUUCAAGAUUUUGAAUAUAAUUUGGGUGAAGAGUUUGUGUAAUUUCGAGUUUUUUUGAAGGAGAUAUAGGUGUUCAAAGUUAAGGUGGCAAAUUUGUACCUACUGUCACUCUUUGAAGCAUAACAUAUGCGUACAGAGAG